rnacentral:rRNA from 1 species
UACGUAGGUGGCAAGCAUUGUCCGGAAUUAUUGGGCGUAAAGGGCGCGUAGGCGGUUCUUUAAGUCAGAUGUGAAAUCCCGAGGCUCAACCUCGGGCGUGCAUUUGAAACUGGGGGACUAGAGUGCAGGAGAGGUAAGUGGAAUUCCUAGUGUAGCGGUGAAAUGCGUAGAUAUUAGGAGGAACACCAGUGGCGAAGGCGACUUACUGGACUGUAACUGACGCUGAGGCGCGAAAGCGUGGGGAGCAAACAGGAUUAGAAACCCCCGUAGUCC